rnacentral:rRNA from 1 species
UACAGAGGGUGCAAGCGUUAAUCGGAAUUACUGGGCGUAAAGCGUGCGUAGACGGUUAUGUAAGUCGGGUGUGAAAGCCCCGGGCUCAACCUGGGAAUGCCAUUCGAGACUGCGUAGCUAGGGUGCGGAAGAGGGAAGCGGAAUUUCCGGUGUAGCGGUGAAAUGCGUAGAUAUCGGAAGGAACACCAGUGGCGAAAGCGGCUUCCUGGUCCAGCACCGACGUCAGGCACGAAAGCGUGGGGAGCAAACAGG